UUUUCUUUUACUGUGUUCCCUCAGCAUGUUUUCACGGAACAAUUCAAUUCCUUUGUAUUUUUCUGAGCUUUGCUCUUAUCUGAUUUUUCCGGCUACACUGGACUUAUGACGAAAAUCGUAGAAUUUGGGGGUUUUCAGACCACGUGUAUGUGAUUUGCAUGUUCUCACCUCUGAACUAGUUUGAUUUCAAUUUCUGAAAAGUCAUUUCUAUUUUCAUAUGAUUCUGACCUUUUGCCCAAAGCUAGAUUUUUCUUCUUUCAUGUUUGAAGUGUUUGUAUGCUCUUUAUAUACUAUGAAUUUCCCCCUGCAGUGGUUUUUCAAAUUUGCAAUUAGUUCAAAAUUUCUUCUGAAUAUAACUUGAUUGAUUUCUUUUCGUUUUUUUUGCCCGUGACUUGACCUAAGUAAAACCUUCCUUUUUUUCAGACUUUAUUCUUUCGUAUUUACCGUUUGUAAUUGGUUUUCUUGCCUUAUUUGCACAAAUCGUGUAUUUCUAAAACCUCUCCGUAAAUGACUUUUAUGUAUUUACCAUAUUUUGUAUACUAUGCACAUGUUGUUUAUUUGAUCCCAUUUCCUUAAAUAUUUUUCGUCCUUUACUGAUCAAAUCGGUAUCCCUUAAUUAAGGGAACCUCUUUAACUUGAUUGAUGUUAAUUGAUACUCGACUAAUUUUCUUUCCUUGCUUGCAUGUCUGAUUCUGAGUAUAAAUACAUGCUCUUCUUUUCACUUUAUUAAUCGAAUUAUGAAUGUUAAACUAAAAAUCAGAAUUCACCUCUCUGUCUUCUUUACUACUAUUAUUACUACUCUCUAUUUCUCUUCACCACUACUGAGCAUUCUACUUCUGCACUUCCUGCUGCGUGAACUCCUAAACACUUGGGAAUUCCUUGAGUCUGUUCCUGUUUGUUCGUGGUUGUCUGUUUGUUGUCACUCUUCUGCUAUUCUAGAAUUUAUAACUGGUAUGUUCUUAUAUGUUUAAUAGCAUCCUUGUUCAAUUUCUGUGCUUCUACCAUUUUCCUUGUGUGUUUACUUGUGCUUUCCUGCACUAUUUAAUUACUUUCAAGCAUGAUAUGUCUCUUAUGUUAUUUUGAUCCCUCUCCCUCUAUUUUCUUUGUAUGUGAGUAUUGUCCUAGGUAAUAGCAGCAUUAUGGAUUGCUAUCUGUGAUCCAGAACUAGGCUUUUCUGAGUCUUGACUCGAUUGUUUUCCCAUUCCCUUUCUCCUCAAUGUGCUGAGCUCUAAUUUGGGUCUGUUGGUGUCUUGAUAAUCAUUUAGACCCGAGUUUGACUCUAUAAGAGUCUGCUCUUAUUUGUUUGAAUCUAAGUGGGAGGUUAGGGGUGUGCCAGUCUAUGCUAUGGCUGGGUAUGACCACCUCCUGCUAAGGUUCCUCUCUCACUUUACACCCUCUCCGAGAUCUUAAUUUCUACCCCCUUUGGCAAGCCAUGCUUAGUGAUCCUAGAGCUCCCUCUGAACUUGGAUGCCUAAGGGCUGGUGAUUCCACACAUUGCACUACUCUGUUACCAUAUUCACUCUUUAGGGUGUAACCAUUGCCUGGGCUAUUGAAGCUCCUUGGAACUUUGAAACAGUCUAAGAGAAAGCCUUUGAAUCUGAAACCUGGAUUUGGUGAAACACAUGUAUUGGAUAUCAAUAUUGCAUUAAGCUGUUUAGAUCUAGCUGUGGGCUAUGAUGUAUUUUAUUUUUCUUUGCCUCUGUAAUAAUAACUUUGUAAUAAAACUUGGGGAAUAUAGUAGAAAAAGGUAUGGGAGGGAUUUUUAGUUGUUUGCAUGUUAAAG
rnacentral:lncRNA from 1 species